rnacentral:SRP_RNA from 1 species
CCUGAGUGUGGUGGUGCACACCUGUAGUCCCAGCUACUUGGGAGGCUGAGAUGGGAGGAUCACUUGAGCCCAGGAGGUUGCGGCUGCAGUGAGCCAUGAUCACACCACUGCAUUCCAGCCUGGGCAACAGAGUGAGACCCUGUCUCAA